rnacentral:misc_RNA from 1 species
CAACCCUCAAGCCUCGCUUGGUGUUGGGGCACUUCCCGUAAAACGGAAGGCCCUGAAAUUGAAUGGCGGGCUCGCUAAGACUCUGAGCGUAGUAAUUUAUACAACCUCGCUUUGGCAGAAUUAGCGGUGCUCUUGCCGUAAAACCCCCCAAUUUUUGAAA